rnacentral:rRNA from 1 species
UACGUAGGGUGCAAGCGUUAAUCGGAAUUACUGGGCGUAAAGCGUGCGCAGGCGGUGAUGUAAGACAGAUGUGAAAUCCCCGGGCUCAACCUGGGAACUGCAUCUGUGACUGCAUCGCUGGAGUGCGGCAGAGGGGGAUGGAAUUCCGCGUGUAGCAGUGAAAUGCGUAGAUAUGCGGAGGAACACCGAUGGCGAAGGCAAUCCCCUGGGCCUGCACUGACGCUCAUGCACGGAAGCGUGGGGAGCAAACAGG